rnacentral:rRNA from 1 species
CAGCAGCCGCGGGAAUACGGAGGGUGCAAGCGUUAUCCGGAUUUAUUGGGUUUAAAGGGUCCGUAGGCGGACUUAUAAGUCAGUGGUGAAAGCCUGUCGCUUAACGAUAGAACUGCCAUUGAUACUGUAAGUCUUGAGUAUAUUUGAGGUAGCUGGAAUAAGUAGUGUAGCGGUGAAAUGCAUAGAUAUUACUUAGAACACCAAUUGCGAAGGCAGGUUACCAAGAUAUAACUGACGCUGAGGGACGAAAGCGUGGGUAGCGAACAGGAUUAGAUACCCCUGUAGUCCCUGUCUCUUAUAC